rnacentral:rRNA from 1 species
CUGGUUGAUCCUGCCGGCGCCACCGCUAUUGGAUUCGAUUAAGACAUGUUUAUCUAGAGGGAAGGACUCGGUGGACCGCUCAGUCCCACGGGGAAAGGAUGCCCUUGGGGGGGGGAUAACCUCGGGAAACUGAGAAUAAUCCCCCAUAGAGCUAGAAAGCUGGAAUGCUUUUAGAUCGAAAACUCCGGUGCCCAAGGAUUGGUCUGCGGCGUAUCAGGUUGUAGUGGGUGUAACGGACCCCCUAGCCUAUGACGCGUAAGGGGCCUUGAGAGAGGGAGCCCUGAGAUGCCUUCUGAGACAUGAGUCCAGGCCCUACGGGGCGCAGAGGUCGCGAA